rnacentral:misc_RNA from 1 species
GAUGAAGAACGUAGCGAAAUGCGAUACGUAAUGUGAAUUGCAGAAUUCAGUGAAUCAUCGAGUCUUUGAACGCACAUUGCGCCCCCUGGUAUUCCGGGGGGCAUGCCUGUCCGAGCGUCAUUGCUGCCCUCAAGCACGGCUUGUGUGUUGGGCCUCCGUCCUCCUCCCGGGGGACGGGCCCGAAAGGCAGCGGCGGCACCGCGUCCGGUCCUCGAGCGUAUGGGGCUUCGUCACCCGCUCUUGUAGGCCCGGCCGGCGCUUGCCGACACAUCAAUCUUUUUUCCAGGUUGACCUCGGAUCAGGUAGGGAUACCCGCUGAACUUAAGCAUAUCAAUAAGCGGAGAA